rnacentral:rRNA from 1 species
GACGAACGCUGGCGGCGUGCCUAAUACAUGCAAGUUGAGCGAUGAAGAUUGGUGCUUGCACCAAUUUGAAGAGCAGCGCACGGGUGAGUAACGCGUGGGGCAUCUGCCUUUGAGCGGGGGACAACAUUUGGAAACGAAUGCUAAUACCGCAUAACAACUUUAAACAUAAGUUUUAAGUUUGAAAGAUGCAAUUGCAUCACUCAUAGAUGAUCCCGCGUUGUAUUAGCUAGUUGGUGAGGUAAAGGCUCACCAAGGCGAUGUUACAGAGCCGACCUGAGAGGAUGGUCAGCCGCAUUGGGAGUGUGACCCGGCACAAACGCCCACGGGAGGCGGCAGUAGGGAUUCUGCGGCAAUGGGCGAAAGUCUGACCGAGCAACGCCGAGUGAGUGAAGAAGGUUUUCGGAUCGUAAAACUCUGUUGGUAGGGAAGAACGUUGGUGAGCGUGGAAAGCUCAUCAAGUGACGGUAACUACUCAGAAAGGGACGGCUAACUACGUG